CAACUUUCAGCAACGGAUCUCU
rnacentral:rRNA from 1 species